ensembl:lncRNA
GAUGAUUCUUCAGAGAGCAUUUAAUCUAAGCGCCUUGUUUUACAGAAGGUGAAAAUGAGGCUGUAGGAGAUUGAUUUUCAAAAGGUCACACAGCUGGUUAAUGCAGGUUCUCUCUGUCUCCCCUUUUCUUUAGGCCCGUCUGCUUCCAAGGUGUGAAAUCUGUCUUUACCUUGACUCUCUGCCUGAAAAAUAUGCGGGCUCGUGUAAGAUGGGGACCUUGAGCUGUGACGGGAGCAUCUUCAAGCCACAGAGCCCGGCUGUCUCACUUUCUAGUUAAGUGGCCACGAGUGAUGUCAUCGUACUAAGCCUUGGUCUCCUCACCAGUCAACUGAGGGUGAAGAUUGUGAGGAUCAAAUGAGAUCAUGAAUAUAAAGUGUGUAGCUCUGAGCCUGGCUGCACUAAUACAGGCUGCUGUUAACAUCUGCAGAGCAGACUAGUUGGGCUCAAUGCUUCCUUACUCUGAGAGCCUGUAAUUUGGAGCAUCAGCUGAUAAUACAUGGGGAUGUGUCUGAAAUACCUGUGAGGAGUUCCAGGUUUCCAUCAGGACUGAUCUAUCAAAUGACAUGAUAUGUGGAGGGCACAGCUGAAGGCAGAAGCACCGGGCACAGAGGAGAGUGGGGAGGAAGAUCUUGAAAAAGCUGUCUCCAUCAACUUACUGAUCCCAGGGACCAGGGAGCCAGCCCCCGGGGCAAGGUAUGUUCAGAGUUUUACCAAGAUCCUCAUUUUAUAAAAUGAGUAAUUCUGCUCAUCUUUCUCCUGCCCCCUUCCCCCUACCAGUA